AUGACGCGGACAUGACGUCUUUUAUAAUUACGUAUAAGCAGUUACUCGGCCAUAACCGACUAGAUUAAAUGCAAGUCCUCGACUGUCUCGAAAUUUUCUGCGAACAAAAGCCCCAAUUAUUCAUGACACUGACAAACUGACAUUGUUGCUGAUGGCGAGACGUGGGUUUGACAUGCAAACAGUCAACAAGCUUCGGAGUGGCGUCUUCCAACAGAACGGAAACCGAAAAAACCACGCCAAAGUCGAUCAAACGUCAAUCAAAAGUAAUAUUAAUUAAUUAAUAUUAAUUUGCUUCAUCAACAAAAGUUUUGAAUACAAACAAAUUUUGUAUACUUCCUGUUUGUCAAUAAAUCGUCUUAAUCAUAA